GGUGCCAGCAGCCGCGGUAAUUCCAGCUCCAAUAGCGUAUAUUAAAGUUGUUGCAGUUAAAAAGCUCGUAGUUGAAUUUCGGGAUCAAUAUUUCGGUCAUGCCGUUGGUAUGCACUGUUAUCAUUGAUUUCUCACCUUCUAAAGAACCGUAAUGCCAUUAAUUUGGUGUUACGGGGAAUUAGGACUGUUACCUUGAAAAAAUUAGAGUGUUUAAAGCAGGCUCACGCUUGAAUACAUUAGCAUGGAAUAAUGAAAUAGGACAUCCGAUUCUAUUUUGUUGGUUUCUAGGAUCGAUGUAAUGAUUAAUAGGGAUAGUUGGGGGCAUUAGUAUUCAAUUGUCAGAGGUGAAAUUCUUGGAUUUAUUGAAGACUAACUACUGCGAAAGCUUUUGCCAAGGAUGUUUUCAUUAAUCAAGAACGAAAGUUAGGGGAUCGAAGACGAUCAGAUACCGUCGUAGUCUUAACCAUAAACUAUGCCGACUAGGGAUCGGAUGAUGUUAAUUUUUUAAUGACUCAUUCGGCG
rnacentral:rRNA from 1 species